rnacentral:lncRNA from 1 species
AAACAGUGUAUUUUUUACACCAACUAAGGAUUUCAUCUUAUCAGAACUCAUUCAUAAUGUCUUAUUAGCGUAUUAUAUGAGUUUAUUUGCUUAAGUUCCAAAAUGUAUCCAACGCACGAUCGUUUUAUCCCACAAAUGCUUAAAACAGUGCAAACACACUCCAAAUAAUGUACUUUAGACACCAAAUAAGCAUUUGACCUUUGGAGAUCUCAUUCUUAACGUCUUACUAAUGUAUUAUAUAUGCUUAUUUUCUUAAGUUCCAAAGCGUAUCCAAAACACGUUCGUUCUAUACCACGAAUGCUUAAAACAGUGCAAAUACGCUGCAAAUAGUGUACUUUUGAUACCAAAUAAGCAUUUGACCGUUUGAGAUCUCAUUCUUAACGUCUUAUUAACGUAUUACCAAAGUGUAUCCAACGCACGCUCGUUUUAUCCCACGAGUGUUUAAAAUAGUGCAAACACACUCAGAAUAGUUUACUUUUGACCCAAAAUAAGCAUUUGGCUUUUUGAGAGCUCAUUCUUAGCAUCUUAUUAGCGUCUUAUAUGUGUUUAUUUGCUUAAGUGCCAAAGCGUAUCCAACGCACGCUCGUUUUAUCCAAUGAAUGCUUAAAACAGUGCAAAUACACUCCAAACAGUGUAUUUUUGACACCAACUAAGGAUUUCAUCUUAUUAGAACUCAUUCAUGAUGUCUUAUUAGCGUAUUAUAUGAGUUUAUUUGCUUAAGUUCCAAACCGUUUCCAACGCACGCUUGUUUUAUCUAAUGAAUGCUUAAAACAGCGCAAAUACACCCCAAAUAGUGUACUUUUCACACCAACUAAGCAUUUCAUCUUAUGAGAACUUAUUCAUAACAUCUUAUAUGUGUUUAUUUGCUUAAGUUGCAAAGGUUGCCAAAUGCACGCUCUUUUAAUCUAGCGAAUGCUUAAAACAGCGCAAAUACACUCCAAAUAGUGUACUUUUGACACCAAAUAAGCAUUUGAUGAUUUGAGAACUCAUUCUUAACGUCUUAUGGGCAUAAUAUAUGUCUUUAGUUGCUUAAGUUCCAAAGCCUGUAAAAUGCACACUCGUUUUAUACAACGAAUGAUAAAAGCAGUGCAAAUGCACUCCAGGUAGUGUACUUUCAACACCGAAUAAGCAUUUGACCUUUUGAUAACUCAUUCUUAACGUCUUCUUAACGUAUUAUAUGCGUUUAUUUGCUUAAGUUUCAAAUCGUAUCCAACGCACGCUCAUUUUUCCCACGAAUGCUUAAAACAGUGCAAACACACUACAAAUAGUGUACUUUAGACACCAAAUAAGCAUUUGACCCCGUGAGAUCUCAUUCUUAACGUCUUAUUAACGUACUAUAUAUGCUUAUUU